UCGGUCCAUAGGUGGAGGUUGGCUGUUAAAAGCCAGAAGGAUUGAGCAUCGCGCACGCUGAGCCCAAUAUUGUGGGGUGCCCCGUCGAGCAUGAGGCCGAGGAAUGGGGUGAGGUCGAGGUCGUAGGAGGGCAUGUCGAAGGCGCCGAUGGCGGCGACAGGGGACCAGAAGUAGGGGUUGAUGGCCCCUGGGUAGAUCACCGCAUAGGGCACAUGCCCGCCGAGGAAGCGGCCGUCGAGGGUCGCGUAGACCUGGCGGAAGGCGCCAUUGGCUCGCGGCGUCGAGAAAGAGACGGCGGGAGAUUGCUGGAGGUACGAGGAGCGUAGGGGGUUGGUGUACCACAGCUCGUCGUCGCCGUGGUAGGAGACGAAGAUCUCGAGGACUGCCCGGUAGGUGUUCGGGGGAAUUGUGAUCGAUUUGGAACCAGGGGCGGAGUCAUUGUCGAUUCGGAACCAGAAACCAGACUCGUAGUAACCGUCAGGGUUUGAGACUGGGAGGAUGAGGUCGGCGGGCUCACGGUACAGGCCCUUGAUCGUUGGGUGCGAUGUGUAAGCCAAGAGGGGUUGGGAUUGAACGGAGUGCGUUGAGCCACGGUAGAAGUGGAGGGAGACGUUGGCGGAGUAGACGCCCGGUAGUGCUACAUUCGAAUUCUCGAGCAUCAUGGAUAUGACACCGCUGCCUCCGUUGGAGAGGCUGUGGAAGAGCGCAGAGUAGCGGGUGACGUCCUUUUGGACGCGCCAGAAUGCACCGGGCGCCAUAGGGCGUGGGGUGGCAGUGCGGAGGACCUCGGCGCCGCCGACCCAGAUGGCAGCGACCCGGUCGUGUUGGAGAUCAGUGGCAAAAACGGAGAGCUCGAGAAUGACGCGGGUCCAGGGGAAGGGGCACUCAGCCGGCAGGGUAUAGUUGGACGCCGCGGGCGGGGAGCCGAAGGUGUCGGCAAAGUCUUGUUGGAGGACAAGCACGGAGCACCGAGGGGUCUCGCCUGCUAGGACCACCGGAGGGAGUGUCGGGUCAAUGUGUUCUAAGGAGAUCGCCGGUAUCGGAUCUUUAAGAAGAAGAGAUGUCCCAGCAUUGGUGUAUACAAAGAUUGUGGCACACAGGAGAAGGGAGAAGAGAAGUUUCUGAUGCAUAUUUGGGUCUGGUGAGAUGAAAAGAAUGGUAACAGGUGGGACAUUUAUACGCAGAUAGAGGAUGGGGGGAAUGCUUAAAAUGUGUUUGAUCAAUUUCUUCUGUUCUCGUACAGACACUUUGUAGUAUUCUUUUAGAACAGAGUAUUUCUAUACACGAGAGCACCGGCGACCAGUUGCGAACCUUCAUUGGCAUUUCGUCGAGUAAUCCGUAGCUAAGAGAAGGUUUAUAUUUUAUCCUGUACGAUGGAGUAAUUUUUCCCCAUCGGGAUGCGUUUGAACUAUUAUCUGUAUUGAAUGACUCAAAUACACUGCACAAGUAUCUUUUACCCAUGCUUAAAUUUUUCUCCGUAUAAUAGACUGUUCCUAAUACAAAUGGCAAAAAAAUUCAUGGUUGAUACUUAAGUUUCAAAUUCGAAUCCUAAUUUAUUUAUAUUUUCGGCUAAAUUUAUUUUUUAAAAAAAUAAACAAAACGAAUAACCUGCUAUAUUUCUCUUUAAAUUUUUUUUUUUUUCUUGGUAUAGGACUGUAGAAUUACUGCACUCGUUUCAAAGAUCAAUCUCGGAAGGCCGAUCUCCUAGGAUUCGGCUCCUACCAUUUAAGUUGAAAACAUGAGUCCCAUCACAAUAGCAGAUACCACGAAGGGUCCAAACAACGUCUCCUUCUACCAUCUUGUAAUCCGUUCGUUAAAAAGAAUUCAAAAAUGUACCCGCAGUAUAAUCCCUACUCCGUUCACAUUUUACAUGCUGGUCACUUAUUAGCAAAAACAACACCAAUUCCCCCAUUGCUUUAUGCAUGUAUAUAUACAACCCACAACACCACUCAUUUUCAUCAACUCAGCUGAGCCAUAGCAAACACCAGUUCCCCCAUUUGAACCCAGCAUCAAACACAUGAUGUCUCUCACCCACCACCAUCUACUGUUCCCCUGUUGCCUUCUUCUCCUGCUGGUUCGGCUUUCCGGAGCCAGCGGCGUGUCGCCAUGGCAGCUCAUCACGCCGUCCGUCCCCGGCAGGUUGGUGUUCCCCCCGCCACCGUCUGUCCCAGCAGAGAAUGCCACCCUCGAAUACAUGGACCCCACCCUCCCGCCGCUCCUCCCCGCUCACAACCCAAAAUGCUCCCUCCUAGUCCUCCAAUACAACUUUGCCGACACCGUCGGCGCCCCGCCCGUCGCCGCCAACUACACCCCGCCCCCUGACUGCCCCGCUCCGUGGUCCCGCGUCGUGCUUGAGCUCUCUGCCUCCGCCUCUGGCCUCCAGAAGGACCGCAUUGCCGCCCUGUGGCUCGACGGUGCGGAGAUCCUCCGCACCACGACCCCAUACCCGAUGGCCCCCGGCGUCUUCUGGCGGGUGCGCAAGGACGUCACCCGCUACACUGCGCUCCUACGCGGCCGAUCCCCUUACGAGGGUGACCAGCCGUGUGUUCUCUCGAUGAUGCUCGAGAAUUCCAAUGCCAAGUACCCGGGCGUCUACUCCAUCAACGUCUCCCUCCAUUUCUACCGCGGUGCACUCUGCAGCGGCGGCAGAUGCAUUGGGCUCAAACCGGCCGGAGAAACUAAACGAGCCGAGCUCGGGCCAGCACUCUCCGCGCAUCCAACAAUAAAAGGAAUCUACCGCGAGCCGGCCGACAUGAUCAUCCCCAUAUCGAAUGGCGACGGCCGCAAAGGCUUCUGGUUUCGCCUCGAGAACGAGACUGAAGUGCAAGGCACGACGGUGCGACUGCCGAAUAACACCUACCGUGCAGUCCUGGAGGUCUAUGUGUCGCACCACGGUGACGACGAGUAUUGGUACGCCAACCCCCUCCGCACCAACGGGCCCGAGGCGGAGGGGUUGCAGCCUCAACAAGGCGGCGACAACCGCCUAGAAUCUUCCAAGGCAAACGGCGGCUUCCGCCAGGUGGUGGCCACAGUCGACGGGCGCUACGUCGGCUCCGCAAUUCCGUUUCCUGUCAUAUAUCCAGGGUCCGUGAACCCCUUCUUCUGGGCCCCUGUGGCGGCCAUCGGCGCGUACGACCACCCGUCUUACGACCUCGACCUCACGCCGUUCGUCGGCCAUCUGAUCGACGGAGCACCGCACGUGUUCGGGCUGGCGGUGCGCGACAGCCAGCCGUUCUGGCUCGUGUCGGCAAACCUGCACGUGUGGGUGGAUGCAUGGUCCGACACGGUGGAGGGGGCGCUCGUGCGGUACAAGGUGCCGCCGUUCCGUUUGAGCAGACAAGCGGACUGGACGGAGCGGGAGGGGAAGUCGGAGAUCGAAGGGCAGGUCAUAAUCCGGUUCUCCGGCUGGGUCAGCUCGUCGAAGGGGAACAUCACGACGAGCGUUCGGCACAAGAUCAAGUUCAAGAGCCACAUAGAGGCCGAGGAGAAGGGGGAGAUGACCAGCGUCGAGUUGGAGAGCAAGGCCCGGACCAACAUCAGGAUCGAAAGGGAGGAUCAGGUACUAUUUAAUCCAACUAAAAAAGUUUAAACUCACGGCACUUAAAAUGGUUCAAAGCUAGGCUGAUUUUGAGAGCAACUUUAAAACUAGGUAAUCGGCCGGGUGGCGGUGGAGACGGAGACGCCGCUGACGAUGGCUACGAUGAGCUCGAACGGGGGCGGGGGGUCGAGAUUCCACAAGACGAAGCUGGCGCACGCGCUGAUGGAGACGCGGAGCGUGGCGGAGAACAAGGGGACGAGCUUCAGCGCGGUGGCGGACCGGCAGGAUUCGGAGGGCGCGGUGCUGAUGGAAGAGGGAGUGGCCAUGUGGGGGAAUGGCGACACCAAGUCGGUGUACAAGUACCGCGACGACAAAGGGUGUUACCUGCGGACGGUGAACGUGGUCGGCGGGAAGGUGAAGGAGGAUGAGGACACGGCGUCGUGCGCGGCCGCGGCCGUCGCAGAGUCGUAGUACGAAGGCACCAACGCACAGCAAGCAAAUUCUGAAGGAUGGCUACUUGUGUAGUCUUUUGUUGUCAUAUAGAUCGAGUUAUAUCGUAUAAUAGUGUCACUCUCUAUACACGACCGCAUAAUCUUUUAUUAGUUGUUUAGUAAAAUCUGUUUUGCUGGUUAGCUGUUAGUUCUUUUUCUGUACGACUGUUCUGAAAUUAUGAAAUGAAAAUAUAUACAUGGCUUUCAUGGUAUUCCAUUUUCCUCCGAUGAAACUGCGCGCGUGUUUUGUCCCACUAAUACCACGAUAGGGUUCGUAUCACUUUUACUUGGUGGCUCCUUAAUUCAAGGUUAAAUUUUUACACUAAAUUUGAUAAGUACGCGUGUUUUGAGAUCAUAAAGUGGCGCAUAACAGAUUAUUGUAUAUAUAUUUACAUUGUAAUAUAUAAAAUUAUUAUUAUAAAUUUAAAAACCAACAUGUUACAAAUCAAAUAAUAGUUGCUCAUCGGUGGCUCGUAGCUCCGGUGCGCCGCGUCCCAAUUGCGAACCUUUUUUCGGUUAGCUCAAAUACCGAAUUUACCCCUAACCCGACCUACUUAUUUACGGUAUUACCCUCGCCCCCAUCAACUAGACCAUUUCCCCGUUCUCCUCAACUAUACAUUUCUUCUCCGAGAAGAGGAGCACCCAUUCCAUCCAAGCGCUCCGCCACCUCCUCUAUCUUCUUCGAGAAGCUUCUUCGAGAACUCUCUCUCUCUCAAACACACACCAAAAAGCAGAGGAGUUUGAGGAGGAGGAGAUCGAUCGACCAUGUUUUACUCGGAAAGCUCCUCUCGGCCAAAUAUGGUGAGGCGAAUCCUCUUCAUCUUCGUAUCGUCUCCCUCUUUAUGCUUCAAUUUCGUAGAGACUCUUUAGGUUUACCCAUCCGAUUGGCGAUUGUUGGUGUCCUAGGAUGGCGGCUACACUGCACGCGAAGAUCAAUCGGAGGAAGCUCGAUAAGCUCGACAUUAUCAAGAUAUGGUGAGAUCUCUCGUCGUUUCCUCUAUUCUCAUGGUGGAAACCUUACGAUUUGAGCUGAAUUUCGGUUAUCAGAUCUGGUUGUAGUGAGGAGAUCCUGAAUCCGACAGUUCCGAUGGCUUUACGGCUCUCUGAAAUCUAAUGGGUGAGCGAUCGAAAUAAAUCUAAGAUUAAACUCGUGUCAUUAGUUAAUUUAAUCUCAUCUACUGCUGUGCGUGUUGUAUCCUCGAUCUCAGGUGGUGUAGUCAUGUAUACGAGGGAGCGUGAAGACUCGCUUUACGGUGCGUUCUGCUCUUCUCUCUCCUCUGCCUCUCUCUCUCUCUGGUGUUCUAAUUUUUAUUUAUGAUUCUUUCAUUGGUAUGUCUCCUCUUACGCGUUCAUUAUCUAAGCUCUUUAGGUUUACCAUCGAUUGGCGAUUGAUUCGGUGUCUAGGAUGCGGCUACCACUGCACGCGAAGAUCACGGGACAGAGCUCGGACAGGCUCAGAAUUAUCAAGAGUAUGGUAGAUCCUGGUUUUACUCUUUUUAUUGCGGAAACUCUGCGAUUGAGGCUGAAUUAUUGGUUAUUCUGUGUUUAAUCUGAUUGUAUGAGGAAAUCCUGAAUCCCACAGUUCCAAUGCUCUAACGGCUACUCUGGGAUACUAAUGGAGUGACUGAUCGAAGAUUAAAUUUAAUUCUUAUUUCGUGUCAGUUGAUUAGAAUUUAAUGUGUAUCUAUGGCUAUAUGUGUAUAUCUCUAUCUCAGGUCGGUGUAGUCAAUCGAUUAUGAGCAGGAAGGUGAAGAUCUCUAUGGGCGUGCUUUGCUCUACUCUGCUUUCUGUUACUCUCUGGUUCUAAAUAUUUAUGAAUCCAUUUUAAUCUUUGCAGAAAUGAUGUGACUCGUUUUCUGGUAAUUUAAUAAUCUUCAAAUUUCUCUUAUUUUUUCCUGAUUUUAACCUCCAUUUGAUCUAUUUAAUGUUAUGUCGCGUUUUCUAAACUUGAUCUUAGUGGUUAAAAUUCUUCGUACAAACUGAAUUUUAUUUAUGUCAUUAUAUAUAUUUAGUAUAUAUAUAAUAUAUAUAUAUCUAUAUAUAUAUAUAUAUAUAUAUUAUAUAUAUAUAUAAUUAAAAUACCUAAAAAAAAAAAAAAAAAAUAGCGAGACGCAAAACAUAGUUAAUAAUAUUGCUCUACCCCCCCGCCUCUAAUCCAUUCUCUUUUCGCUUUCUCUCUCCCCCUCUCUCCCCCUCUCUCCCAUUCUCUCUCCUCACUCAUGGCGCCAUUAGCAUUCCCUCCACCCACCCUUCCUGCAGCAAUCCUCCCCGCCACUGAAGCGGGGAGAGGUGGCGGCGGCCCCCCGCCGCCCAGGCCUCCAUCAUCCGCCGCCGCUCCUCCUCCUCCUCCUGAGGAACCGAAAAAAGUUUUCUGGCCUUUCUUUUUAAAAUGGCGUGAGGAGGAGAAAAGAAAACCUGACAAAGUUUCUUUUCCGCGAGCUACAUCAUUUCCGACACUGAGGCUCCUCAAUGGGUUGCCCAUCGUUGAGGUUAAACUUCUUCCUAAGCUAAUGUUGUGUUCUAGCCUUUUCUUUUUCUUUGAUUUAGUUUAGGUUUUCUGAACUUUCUCUUUCUCCCCUUCCCUAUUCUUUCUUUUGUAGGGUGCAAUCUAUUCCCCUCCUCCUCCUCCCGAAUGGGGGGGCGGGGAGAAGAAGGAGAGAUCCCCUCCCGAGGAGCGGCGCGGCGAAGAAAAACAGGCUGAUAGAGUUUCUUUCCCACAAUCGUCUGCUUUUCCAACACUGAGGUUGGGCGACGAUUCCGCUGUAGUCAAGGUUCUGAAAGGCAAACCCUAGGCCUUUUCUAUAUUGCUUGAUUCAUAGUUUAGGUUUUAUGAACAUUCUUUUCGAUCCCCAUUUCUUUUAUUCGUUUCUCCAUUUUCUCUCUUGCGCGUGUUGUCUACGGUGGAAAAAGGGCAACACAGGGGUUGAAUGCCCUAGCCCGAGCGCAAUGAGGUGAGGUCAGAGCAGCGUUCACUCUUUUCUUUUAAACUCAAGAUUGCUUUUCAUUUUUGGGGAUGAGAGACGAGACCUCAACGACCUAUCUCAGUACUUAACAUUCCUCUUAUAUCAGUGUACGAUUCUUUGCAUUUUUGUAGAUAUCGAAUUUCGUGAGACCUUUUUUUUUUUUUUUUUUUUCUUUUUUUUUUUUUGUUGUUUUUUCAAACUAUAUCAAGCAUAGGAUCUGGUAUGAAGGUUGAAGAUUGUGAUUAGAAUCUAAUUUAAUUUUGUAAUGAAAUUAAUAAAUUUAAUAAAUGCAUACAAUCUAAUUAAUAAAUUUAAUAAUUUUGUAAUGAAAUUAAUAAAUUUUAGGCCUUUUUUUUGUUGUUUUUUCAAACUAUAUCAAGCAUAAAAGUACCCGCGCAAUGCGGCGAAAAGUCAAUACAAUAAUAAAUUAUUAGAAUUAUUAACAUAAUUUUUUUCUAUUAUAUAUUAAUAUUUUUAAAUAUUAUUUAUCUUCAUAUUGAAUAAUUAAAAUUUAAAGAAUAAAAUUAAAAUAUAUUUCUUUCUAAAAUAUUUAAAUCAAAUAAAUAAAAUGAAUAAAUCAAUUUAAAAUAAAACAAUAGCUUAUUACAAUAUUAAGAAAGCUAAAUAAUAUUUUUCUAUUUCAUAAGGUAGAAUUUACAAAAAAAAUAAAAAAAAUUAAGUGGAGUGAAAGUACUAUUUUUGGUAUUCUCUAGCGGCAACCGUCUUCAUUAGUAAUAAAUUACAUAUUUUAUCGUACAUAUAUUAAAUAAUAAAGUUUCGACACAUUCCUAAAUUUAAAUUAAAAAGAAUCCAGUAGAUGAAUCAUCAUAACCCACAAAAAUAAAUAGACUUACAAAACAUGCAAAAUCAAAAAUAGAUGUUUUUUAUUAUGAAAAAAACAUUUAACUCAAACAACAUAAUCAAUAUAUUAUAUACAGUUAUCCUCAAAAUUUUGUAAAUAAAUAAAACCUAAACAUACAAUAAAUAAAUAUUAUGAGAGAGAGUGAGAGAGAGAAACCGAAAAAAACGGCCAGCCCCACAGGUCCCCCCAAACCCGGGGAGCCCUGUGGGUUCCCAAUUUCACUUAAAUAUGUGUUUGUUGAGCUAAAACGAAAAACAUAUAUCAAAGUAUUAGAAAUUAAUGAAUGCAUAAGUCUAGUAAAUAAAUUAAAUAUAAAUAAAUAAAUAAUGUUUGUGAGAAUUGUUUGAUCUAAACAGAAAAAUAACAAAUUUAGAAAUUAAUGAGCUAAUGAGUUCUAAUAAAUAAAUAAACAUAUAAAUAAAUAAAUAUAUUGUGGAGAGAGUGAAAGAAGAGGAACCAAAAAGAAAAAAAAAGGGCCGACACAGCCCCCAAACCCGGGGAGCCCCUUGUGAUCAUAAAAAGGAAGUGGGCCCGCAUAGGGCCCCCCAAACCAGGGGCCCUUGUGGGUUUUCAAUUCCUGUAUUUAAUAGUGUGAUUUAUAUAGUUAGUAAUGCCGUGCAACGCAACAAUUUUUUUAUACUUUAUAACUAAUUAAUAAAUAAUAAAAUAUUUUUAUUUAUAAAGUAAAUAACAAUAUAUUUGGCUCUAUUAAAUAAAAAAAUUUUACAGUUAUUUUCUAUCACAAAGUAAUACGUGUUUACCAUAUAUUUUUGAUAGGCCAAACUAAAAUUUCCUUGGUUAGUGAAGAGAUGGCAUAGUUUUUCCGAAUCAGUUCCAAGUUUAUUGAAAACAAAGGCAAGUUCUUUUAGAAUUACAUAAAUACAGGUAUUCAAUUUAUCAAUUAGAACUACAUCGACCAUGACAAAAAUUAAAAGUUUAAAUUGAAUAAAACAAUACAAAUAAAUAUCAUGAUUUCCGCUGUGCCCUUAUAAACGCAAAAUUUAAAUAGUUUGCCCACGAUGGUUAGUGUUCCUUAGGCAAUAUCUAUCAAACCACAAAUAAUUGACUCCUAGCAUCCGAACUUACCAUUGGUAUUAUUAUAUUAUCAUACCUAGCUUUUAGCGAAAAUGUAUAAAAAGUCUCCUAUAGCUAGAUGCAUCUUUAUUACCUUUUAAUAGAUGCGUACGAGAGGAUCAAACCUCCGACCUGUCGGCGACUAUGCUAGGCACUGGUGAUGAGACGAUUAGCUAUAGUUAGCAAAGCCCAACACAAAUAUAUUUGUACUCAACACGGUUUUUACCCCCUUUUUUUUAGGGGAAGAACUGUUAUGUUCAGACCGAAUUAUUAUAUCAUAUUGAACCAGCUGAACUCGGUUAAUCUAUUCAAUUUUCUCAAUAGUUGGUUCGGUUUGAUUAUUCACUUUGAGAAUUCAAUUAGCCAAGAUAACCAAAGGAGCAAAUAGAUAGCUAUUGGAUACUUAUUAGCCGAUAAAUGAUGAUUGAACAAUUGGAGUGCUUAAUUACUAUAGCUAUUGAAUCAAAGCUUUAAUGCACAUGAUAAUUCCAUAUCUGCACUGAUCUCAUCUACCGCAAUUGGCUGAGAAUUUGAUAGUGGUUACCUGGACACUUGCAUAGACUGGAUCCCUGGAAAGAAAAGCAUCUGCCUCAAACAUCUUCCUUCAUUUAUCAGAACAACAUAUCCUCGCGACGUCUCACUAAGAACGGAAAAUAAAUUAGCUAAGAUUUGUUCAAGAGCUUCCGGUUUAAUCUUCGACACAUUUGAUAACCUCGAUAAUGAAAUCAUAAAACCUCUGAUUGCAUAAUAAGAUGAAGCCUACGCACUUGAGCCUUUCGAAAGCUAUGAUUGCAUAGUGGCUAAAAAAUCAAAAUAAUGUUUCUGUUAUUUUUGUGAGCUUUGGGAGCACCAUAUCAAUAACAUCCCAGGAUUUAACUGAAUUAGCUUGGCCACUCACAGAGUGCAACUUUGCCUUCAUGAGGAUCAUUAGGCCUAGUUUACUAGAAGGCGGUGUCGAAUCAUUUCUGAGAGAGAAAAAUAGACAUGAAACUGCAAAGCAGCAAAACCUGAAGAAAAAAAAAAAAUUCACCCAAUUAGAGUGAGGUGAAAAGUUUAAAAUAAAAGAGAAAAAACCAAGAAUAAGCGAAGAAUAACACAAGAAACAAAUGUUACGAAUUGAAGUUGAUGUGCACAAUAAGGACUUGAUGAACAAGUGUUAUGCACUAAACCAGUAGUUCUAUGAAAGCUUUGAAAGAGCACAUACAAAUAUAUGUAACUUUUGUGAUUAAAGUUAACCAACCAAGUGGUGGUUUCAAAAUGUGCAUUAAUACCUUGAAUUGAUUGUGACAGGAAUAAAUUUUGGACUUAGUCACUAAAUACCAAAUAUCCAAAAUAGAAAAAAACAAAGAAGGAGCUAAUUUUAGUUGAGAUAAGAGGAAGCAAUUUACUUGUUGGUAUCCAUAAUUAGAUGGGUAGAUCAUAUACCUGCAAAAGUAGACACAGUAAUAAGUGGAUAAGCUAACAAUGGAGGCACUAUAAACGUAGUGGACUUUUGGGCCCACCAACUAUUUAAAGCCCAAUUAAUUGAAAAUAAUAUAGCAAUGACGAAAUUAUAUUUUAAUCAUGGAAAAUAUGGGCAUUUAAAAAAUUUAAAAUAUGAAUUAAGAGAGCACAACUGACCUGUUGCUCAUAUUUCAGCUAAGGACAAUAGCAUGCAUCAACUCCGAGCCUCGCGGGUGGUCUUAAAGCAAUGUCCAUCUAAACGAUAAUUAAAUUGAUAAAUGCAAAUUACAACAUAAUGAAGAAAUAACCUAAACCUGUCAAGCGUCUUAAACUUUCAAUUCAUGUAUUUAUAUAGAAAAUCUCUAAAGGCAAUUAUUUUUAUCAAACAAACGAAAAGUAGACAGUAAAUAACUAUAUAGAGCAAAUGAAAGAGACUCAUAUAUGCUUUUGCUUAAUCACAACGACAUUUAACCACAAAUCCUCUUCUCCCUCCUCCAAAACUUUUUUAAAAGUAAAUCACUACAAUGGUUGCCUUAGGUCAUCCAAACUGCCUUGCCAUUAAACUCUUAUGGUGUGUAUGUAAAAAUUUUAAGAAAAUGAGAGAGAUUUGGAUUUAUGUAACCUUAAUAAGUAAGGUAGCCUCCAAAAUCAGCAGUUCAAGGAAGAACCAUUUAAUCAUCAUUGCCUCUAAUACCUUAACAAUCAAGACCAAAUACAUGGAACACCUAAUUGAUGCAGGAGCAUCAAUUGCCGUUGAUGCGUAAGUGUAGCAUUUGAUCGAAAAGAUGAUGAAUUGAUCCGAAUCACUCAGCCCAAAAAACCUACAAUUUUGUUCAUCCUGAAAGUAUCAAAUAAUAAAGGUUGAUUAAUGUUGGAUAAAAAUUAAGAAAACAUGUUCGAUUUUGUAAUUUUAUCAAACAAUAAUAGAAUUUUCAUACUGUGACUAUUUAUAGAAAAAAGUUAAACUUAAAAUAAAAGUAAUGAAUCCAAAAUAUAAUUACUCAAUAAUCCACCAACUGUCUAUUUUACAUCAUACCCUAUUGCUAAGGUAAAAACAGAGAGAAAGUAAAUAGUAGGCAUGUACGUAGGCCAAACUGUCGAUAAUCCAAUAUUCCAUGAUUUUUGCUUUCACAUGUGUUAAUCCAAUAUUCCAACUUAUAUAUCACAAUUAAAUAUUUUUUUACCGCAUAUCUAUUUAGCAAAUAAAUUCGUACAUUACAUUAGACAAACGAUGAUAUUUAAUUAAACCUUAAUUUAAUGCCUAUAUUUGUCAGUAUUGAAAAUUUAAUGCAAAUAAUUUGGUGCAUAAACCUUAAAGCAUGUUAGAUAAUUUAUUGAAAAGCACCAUAUUUGAAACGUUGUUGCCUGAGAGGGUCAAAGGAGCAGGCAGAAAGUCUAGCCGAAAACGUCACGGGCGAACACAUGGAACAAAAGAAAAAUAUCGUACCUGUAAAAUAUAGCAAAAAUAUUAAAGCACCAUUCUUCGACAAUUUAAAAUUUCGGAAAUAAAUUUGACUGAUUCAGUGUAGGAUCCUGAGUCUAUUAAGGGCCCAUUUAGUAUAUACUAGUUAAACACCGGCGCUUCGCUGCGGAAAAAAAAAAUUACAGUAAAUAUACAAUAAUAAUUAAUAAAUAAUAACAAAAAAAUAUUAAAAAAUAAAACUUAUUUAUAUUAGAAUUAAUAAAUAAUAACAAAAAAAUAUUAAAAAAUAAAACUUAUUUAUAUUAGAAAUUUAUUUAAAAUUAAGCCACAACAAAUAAAAUAACUUUUUUUCUCUUAAAAAUAAUUUUUUAGCGAAAAAUGCAUAAAAAACACUACGCCGCCAACGCCGUCGCAUCCUUCGUUCUCGACACCAUCGCGUCGGCGCUGGGUGGGCUUCUCAAAAUCGUCAAAUUAAGAUCUAAGGUUUUUCGAAACCAUACCCUCACUGGACGGUGAGCGACUCGUAGUAAGUAAGUAAGUAACCAAACAUAUAUGUAGUUAACUUAUAAGUAACCACAUAAUUUUUUAAAGAUUGUAAAUUCUAAAUAUAAAUAUUUAACCUUAUUAUCAAAAAAUCUAUAUGUAGUUAUAAAUAACCAAAUAUAAAUGUUGAGAUUUUUAGUUUUUAAAUUAUCAAAAUAUGAGCAAUCAUAAUAUUAACUACAAUAUUAUUAAAACAAUAAGUAGUUAGUAAAAUCAACAAAUUUUUAUUAUUAUGUGAGAAAAUUUUCUAUUUAUAAUUAUAAUAUUUUAAUUUUACACAUUGCUUGUUAUUUCAAAAUUUUAUAUAUUAACAUUGUUUUGAGUAAAUUUUUUUUGCAUAUUGAUUCAAAAAGAUGUACUAUAUGAAUAAUAUUAUUGAAAAAUAUUAUGUUGAAAUAUUUUACUGCUUUAGCAAAAUCAAAUACUAAAUUAAAUUUUUUUAUUUCAAUAUCUAAAAUUUACUUUUAUUUUUGUUACUGUACCAAAAAUUAAAAAAUUUCUCUUGGUCAAAUGAUCUCCAUAAUUAGAAGAUUGGUCUGUGGUAGACCACGGUCUAGGUUGUGAUUUCUCUAUAUUUAGCCAUCAAAUAUUUAUGGCCGUAAGAAUCAUGUGGUCGGUGGGGCUCCACCAAAGGACGGUGGGUGAUGAAUAACAUUACUUAAGAAGAGAAAAUAAUGGAGGAUUAAAUUGAAGGUCCACGGAUGACAUGGUGAACCAAUUGCAUGCAAUAUUUCCGCCUCACCGCAUCACCAUAAUUGUUCCUUCCAUUUUCGCUACUUUCCCCUCUGUCUCUCGCUCAUUACGACGCUCAUGCCAUUUCCGCAAUCUCUUUUUUUUUUUUUUUUUUCAAUGAAGUGACCAUACUUCUAUUGCCCUGCAUGCUUUGACGACAUUAAAUUGACUAUUUUCAUGCACUAAUUUUUAAGAAACACAUCAAACAUCAAACACAUUCUUCAUCAAUUAUAUUCGACUGUAAACUAAAAAACCCUCCUUUCCACUAAUUUUAAUAUUUAGAAUUGGCAAGUACCAAAAAGGCAUUCGUUUCACUCCUACAAUCAACUCGAAACCAUGCAAUCGCAAGCGAAAGACCGAAUUUUAGCCCCAACUAAUAAACCCUAAGAAUCUAAGCAAGAGGUGAUCAUCGAAACCCAACGUGCUUCCCCACCGAUCCCACCGAUCUUCGGGAUCGAUCUGCGCCCCCCCUCUUGAGCAGCAGCUCGACCACGUCCGCGAAGCCCUGGCACGCGGCGACGUGAAGCGCGGUGCGCCCGUCGAUGUCCCUGAAGUUGACGUCGACGCCGGAGUCGAGGAGCUCGCGGAUCCCUUCCAUGUCGCCCUCGUUCGCGAUGUACAUGAGGCGGAUCUCUGCGCCGAUCUCCGCGAGGGCGCCGCCGCCAUUGGGCUUCUCGCUCGCCGCCGCCGCCGCCGCGGUCGGGCGCGAGCGACGAUUGCUUCCCCAGCGUGAAGCGCCCCGUCGACUUCGACUCCAUUAACGUAAGCUCCGGAGAUCGCGAUCGCGAAUUGGAUACGGGGAUCGAAGAGAGAGCCAUUUCCGCAAUCUCUAAUCUGGGAGAAGGAAAAAAUAAAUAAAAAUAAGAAAAGAAAAGAAAAGAAAAGAAAUCGUAAAUUUAAUACUAAUUUCCUAGCAUUGGAAGUCCCUCUCUGUUUUAAAAAAAAUUAUUAUAUCAGUGAAAAGAGAAAGGCACCACACACAUGAGAGAAAUGGCAGAGAGAGAGGAGAGAGAGGAAGUGCUCUGCUCUGGGAGUCUGAGGACUGAGGAGAAGUGAAGUAGAAGUCUCUUCUCUCGGAACCAACUCCUCAUCACCCCCCACCACACCAACCGUCGUAGCUCUAAAAAUGCCACCUGUCCAAAAUUACUCGGAUCCCCACCUCUUCGCAGCGAUCGGAGGCGGAGGCGAAGGGAUCGAAGGGGGAGAGCUCGUCCGCUGGGCAGGGGCGUGGAAGAGAGCGAUCACCCCCGCGGCCUUCGCCGCCCUCGACGCCCCCGCGGCCCUCGCCGCGGCCUCCGUGGCUGCUGCUUCCGCUGCUGCCGCGGCUGCACUCUCCAUUUCCAACCUCGGGUGGCGCUUAUGCCAAUGAAUGAUAGGGAGAGAGAGAGAGGGGGGGCUGGCUAAGAGAAGGGAAGAGAGAGAGAGAGAGUAAGUAGGGGAGAGGAGGAGAGAGAGAAAAAAGAAGCGCAGCUGGAGAGGAUUUUUUAGGGAAUGACAGAGCUGUCUUGGGAAAAGAGAGGAUUUUUUGAAAAGGAGCUGGUCCAAGUCCACCUCGGAAAAAGAGAGGAUUUUUUAAAAAGAAGCCCGUCCAAGUUUACCCUCGGGAAGCAGCCAAGAAUGUUUUUUAUUCGUAAAAUAGGAAAUGCCGCCACGUUAGAUGUUUAGAACUGUCAAUUAGUAUAUUUGUAUGGAUUGUAUGGAUUGAGGCUCAUCUAACUCUACCUCAUUUUUUUGUUAAAAACUUCGUAACCAAUAUCUACUAUUAAUAAAUACUAAUCUAAUUAUCAAAAGUCCAUGAAUCAAAAAGAAACAAUCCAAAAACUGCAACUAUAACUCCAGAGACAACAAAUGUUCGCAUCGAAGCUUCCAAACCACCAGCAUGGUUUCCUUGAAGUAGAAAAGCCAUGAUGCUAAUUUCCAGAAACAAUAUUCCGGAUUUUGAAAACAAUGACAACAAAUUCCAAGAGAACUCCUUGCAGGUGUACAUUGCCACUCCUACCGUCACAUAUAAAAUAAAUAGAAGAGCUAUUGCAUUAAAAGCUAAUGCAUUAAAAGGGCUUGUAUAUUAGUAUUCAAAAAAUUAAGUUCAAGUCGCACAAAAGUGAAAAGAAAUAACAACCCUAAUAAUUAAUUAAUUAACACGUAGCUCCCGAAACAUGCCUAUUCUUAAACAGAUUGAAUCGAGAAAACCCUGGAAUGUUCAACGUAGCAAGAAGAAGGGAAUUGUGUUAUACUUGGAUGACGUAUCAUAGAAGAUUGAGAACGCUAACAACCCAAAGUUGGACGUAGUAUGCGAUUAUGAUGUAGGAUCGGCCAUAGGUAAGCUUGGCGUUGCUGCGUGGCCCAUGGCAUGCUUUAAAAAAAAAACAAUAUAAACCUAAGAUGAAAAACAAAAAAACAAACAAAAAGGAAACAGUUGGGUUACCUGCGCCACCAAAACAUACUCCUUUGUGAUAACCUGCGAAAUAAUCAGAGAGGAGAAAUCGGUCAGGCACAAUCUCGAAACAGUGCACAAUCGAACAAUUCGCAAUCGAGCUCCGACACUCACGACACAUCAAUCGAUAGCGUUAGGCGUGAUCCAAAUAGGAAAUUUAUACAAAAGAACACGACACAAAUUUUAUUCGAGGAACACGACUGAAGAGGACGAGGAGGAGAUUAGGGUUCGGGUUUCGUGAUCGCACCGUGGAGACGGACCAAGAACAAUCCUCGACCACGGCGGAGUCUUCGAGGCCAUUGAGGAUGUUCUCCCCGAAGUCGGAGUCGUCGUCCUCCUCUUCUACACCGUCGCUCAAGUACGUCUCCUCUUCCUCCCCUGCGUUCUCACUAUUAUCAUCGUUCUCUUCAUCUUCCUCCCUGAGAUCCCUCCCAUCGCCAUCGCUUGCCGUUGGAGAAAGGAUCGAAGAAGAAGAUAUCACUCUCCCUCGAUCACCACCCCCUUAAUGACGCCGCCUUCCUCUCCCCCCGCUGCGAAUCCCGGCGAAGAUCGCGCCGCGGAUCUCGACGGGGAGAUCGGAGAGAGAUGAGAGGCGGGAUCGGAGGGGGGGGAGAGGUGGCGGAGGAAGGAUUGAAGAGGCGGUUGUGGGGGGUUCGAAGAGGCGGGGCAGGAUCGAAGCGGUGGGAAUCCCACCAGGGAGCGAUCAAAGAGGCAGAGGCGAAGGGGCUUGGUGACGUGGGAUUGAAUUAGCCUGAAUUAAGGUAAACUGGACACGUGGCAAAAAAGAACGGGGAUUAAUAGAGUUUAUAGAUGAGAGGCGGCUUGGUGAUGUGGGAUUGAAUUAGCUUGGAUUAAGGUAAACUGGACACGUGGCAAAAAAGAACGGGGAUUAAUAGAGUUUAUAGAUUCUCAAAAUGGAAAUAGCAUAAGGAGUCUUGUUAUUAAGUUAUCUUCAAAUCUAAAUCAAGAGCUUGGGGGAAAAAAAUCACAAAAUAGGCACCGAAUCUGUUUCAUAUAAUUUAAUAUGAUAGCUUAAUUUUUCAAAAAUAAACGAUUAUUUUGUAUUAUUUAAUAUGAUAUUAGAGUAGGCGCUCUCAAUUCGAAUCCCAACAAACUUCUGGAGUUACUUUGUUUUCUUCUGGAGUUACUUUGUUUUCUCAAUUUAAUUAAAACUCGAUGUUAAUUUAUUAAAAUAUUGAGUCCUGGCGUGAAGAAAUUUGUUCAUUACUAGUAUAGAAUCCGCGCUUUGCUGCGGUUAACGGUUAAUUUUAUAUUAUAGUUAAGUAAAAUUAUAAUGAAUAAAACAAAAAAAAAUUAUAGUUAAAAAAAUAUAAACAAAAAAAGAUUUAAGAAAAAAAAUACAUGCCCUGAAAAAAUUAUAGAGCAUUUAAUCAUUUCUAUUUAAUAAAAAGAGAUUUACCUAGAUAUUAUAUUUUUCUUCUUAUACUAUGGUCAAGAAAAAUUAAGAUUAAAUAAAGUAAAAACGGAUCAUAUGCUCUAAAAAAGUUGCGACAAAAAAAAUAAAAAUUAAAGUAGAAAAAAAUAAUCAGAGAUUCACCUAGAUAAUAAUAUUUUUUAUUUUAAAAAAAAUAUUUUGAAAUUUUCUAUUGAGAAAAAAUAAAAAAAAAAGAAAGAAUAUCAAAAAUAAAAAAAUCAUAAUAGAUAAGAAGUUGUGAAGUUAUACUUCAGACCUCACUUUUUUUUUUUUCUUUUUUUGAGGGUAAAUAAAAUCUUUAAAAUGUUUCAAUUGGUACAUCAGCAUUCUCUCCUCCUUCCAUACAAUAUGCUGAAUCAUAUGUUCAAUAGGCAAUCACUCAUUCUUUUCAUCUUAAAAUAUAAAAAAAAAAUUAACAUAACACAUAAUAUGUUCAUCAUUUUGUUAAAAUUUUAUCUUUAAAAAAAGUAAAAAAAUAUGUAGAUCCGGAUAAAGAAGUUGUCGGUCGGUUGCAGUAGGUUCGGGUUAACUCGUUCGAACUCGGACUCGGAUAUUAUAAGAUUGUGAGCGAGAAACCUACGCGGCUCGGCUCGAUCGAACUUCGCUUAAUUCCCUCUCGCCCUUUUCAAAACAAAACCCUUCUCUCUCUCUCUCUCUCUCA
rnacentral:lncRNA from 1 species